AGAUCGAAUUGUAAACUUUAGAGUCGUUGUCCAGACCAGCCGAGUAAAUAAGUUCCUUGGAAUAGGACAUCAUGGAGGGUGAGAAUCCCGUCUUUGGCUUGAGCAUUGGUCUUUUGUGAUGCGACUUCAACGAGUCAGGUUGUUUGGGAAUGCAGCCUUAAUUGGGUGGUAAAUCUCACCUAAAGCUAAAUAUUGGCGAGAGACCGAUAGCGCACAAGUACCGUGAGGGAAAGAUGAAAAGAACUUUGAAAAGAGAGUUAAACAGUAUGUGAAAUUGCUAAAAGGGAACCGUUUGAAGUCAGUCUGGCUGGUCUGCAAUCAGCUUCAACUUUGGUUGGAGUGCACUUGUAGGCCAUUUUGCCUGCCAACAACAGUUUGUUCUGCAGCAAAAAGGUGUUGAGAAUGUAGCUUUCUCUUUGGAGGAAGUGUUAUAGCUCUUCGCGAAAUACUGUGGUUCAGACUGAGGCUUGCAGUGAAUGCUAUUUUGGCUUUGGGGAUGGAUUGCUCAGUGCUUUGCUUGG
rnacentral:rRNA from 1 species